GCGAAAAGGAGCGAGCGAAUCAAAUAAACAAAGGAUGAAAAGUUGUAAGAGGAUUACCAGCGUGACUGAGCGAAGAGCUGUAUAAGAGGCAAAAUAAGUACUUUGUAUAAUAACAGCAGGCAGGGGCAAGGCAGAUAUAAUGGAAAAGCUCUGUGGCAUCCUCAAAUAAGUGGUAUUGAAACUCGAGUGGCACGAAAGGGAACACAGAAACAGAACCCCCCCAAGCAGAUCCCAAAGCCCGAAGCAGAACUCAGACAGCAUAAUUUUUCAUUAUGCCGCGAAGAGCAAA
rnacentral:lncRNA from 1 species